AGAUACAUAAAUAUAAUAUAUCCUUUUAUAGAGAUAAAUAUGCCAAUUUUUGCAUGAACUGUGUAACAGAUGGAAAACAAUACGUAAUCAUUGUAUCCAAUUUGCCAAAUGGGGAUUAAAAAAUUGUCAAUAAUUGCUCUUGUAGUGGCCUAAGUCAGCAAUACCAACGUAAAGGGAUGAUAAUGAAAUAUGCUCUCAUUGCUCAGAUUACCACUUAUGUUGUUAUUUUAUUUUUUUGACAAGUGAUAUUAUAUAUGUUAAGGGGAGGAAGUGAGUUUAGUCUCACAAUGAGCUAGUAAUAAUGUGGUUCAAACUCGCAUUUGGUGAGAAUCGAACGACCUCUCACUUAUAAGUAAAAAAGAUUACCACUAGACAGUACUAUUAAGUGACAAUUGUCACUUAUGUUUAAGACUUGAGAAAAAUAAAUUUUCUGUAUAAAAAUGUUUUUUUUUCCAAUUAAUAUUUAUGACUAUUUUUAUUGCGUCUCUCGUGAAGAAUACUUUGGAACAUUAUUGUUUCUUUCAUAAGUAAUCUCAAACGAGCUAGCAUUUCUCGUUGAAUGUCUUAUCAACUGAAAAGAGUAAUGUUAGAGAUAUUAAAUUUGUAGAUUAAAUUUGCAAACUAAAUGACGUGUCACUGAUCGAAAAUGAGCACGUUUAUCAACAUUUAAGUAAUAAUCAACUCAUUAAUUUUCAUGUCAUUUAGUUUACAAAAUUUACUCUACAAAUUUAUUAGUAGAGUGAUCUUACAAAUUAUAUUUAUUUUUUAUUUUUGGUUAAAGAUCUUAAGAAUUACCUUGUAUAAGUACUCAAAUGAGUUUCAUAGGCAACUCUGUUUGAGCUAUUGUAUUGACUGUUGGAUUAACAGUUUUGCUAAUUACUACAAUUUUUUCUUGCCCCUUUAUAUCUCACCGAAAGCACAAAACCCUAAUUCUCCUUGCCGUCGACUCCUACUACUUUGGGUGGAGAUCCGUGGCAAAACCCGCUUCCAGUCUUCCUUACCAACCCUACUUCUCCUCCUUCUCUG
rnacentral:lncRNA from 1 species